rnacentral:rRNA from 1 species
CGCCUGUUUAUUAAAAACAUAGUUUAUUAAAAUUUAUAGUAAAUUAGUUCUGCCCAUUGAAUUAAUAAUUUAAAAGGCCGCAGUAUUUUGACUGUGCUAAGGUAGCAUAAUCAUUAGAUUUUUAAUUGAAAUCUAGAAUGAAAGAUUUAAUGAAAUAAAUUCUUUUUUAAUUUUAAAAUUGAAUUUUAUUUUUUAUUUAAAAAGAUAAAAUUUUUGAAUGGGACGAUAAGACCCUAUAGAAUUUAAUAAUAUAUUUAUUUAUAUUAGAUUAAUUAUUUAAUAAUGUUUAAAUAAUUAAGUUAUUUUAUUGGGGCGAUAAUUAAAUUUAUUUAACUUUUUAUAUUAUUUCAUUUAUAUAUGUAUAAAUGAUCUUUUUUUAUUGAUUAAAAAUUUAAAUUACCUUAGGGAUAACAGCAUAAUCUUAUUUAAAAGUUCUUAUUUUAAAUAAAAUUUAUGACCUCGAUGUUGGAUUAAAUA